UAGGGAAUCUUCCACAAUGGACGCAAGUCUGAUGGAGCAACGCCGCGUGAGUGAAGAAGGUUUUCGGACCGUAAAGCUCUGUUGUUGGUGAAGAAGGAUAGAGGUAGUAACUGGCCUUUAUUUGACGGUAAUCAACCAGAAAGUCACGGCUAACUACGUGCCAGCAGCCGCGGUAAUACGUAGGUGGCAAGCGUUGUCCGGAUUUAUUGGGCGUAAAGCGAGCGCAGGCGGAAGAAUAAGUCUGAUGUGAAAGCCCUCGGCUUAACCGAGGAAUUGCAUCGGAAACUGUUUUCUUGAGUGCAGAAGAGGAGAGUAGAACUCCAUGUGUAGCGGUGGAAUGCGUAGAUAUAUGGAAGAAUACCAGUGGCGAAGGCGGCUCUCUGGUCUGCAAACUGACGCUGAGGCUCGAAAAGCAUGGGUAGCGAACAGGAUUAGAUACCCUGGUAGUCCAUGCCGUAAAACGAUGAGUGCUAAGUGUUGGGAGGCUUCCGCCUCUCAGUGCUGCAGCUAACGCAUUAAGCACUCCGCCUGGGGGAGUACGACCGCAAAAGUUGAA
rnacentral:rRNA from 1 species